CCCUUGUAUUAAGUCUCCCUUGCCCUUCAUGUGUUUAUGUCUGUGUGUCUUAUGUUGCCAAGUUCAUGUUGUCGUUUCUGCCAUCUUCCCCUGUACUCAGUCUCCCUGGUUUCUGUGUCUACGUUUCAUGUCUAUACAGUUAUGUUAAGUUCAGGUCAUGUCUUAUCUCCAUGUCUAAUCUCCAUGUUUCCUGUUUUACUUUGAAAGUCUGUAUUCACUGUCAGUGUAUUUAGUUUCACGUCUCCUGUCCUGUCGUUAGGUUCAUGUGUGUCAGCUGUGCUCCCAUGUGUGGCCACUUCCCCUGAUCAUCCCUCAUGUGUAUUUAGUCUCUGUGUUUCAUGCAGUCUGUGUCGCGUCGUCUGUGUUCCCACCCUCCGUGUUUCCAUGCUUAGUCUUUUGUAUCCUCAGCCUUAGCCUUACCAUAGUUUGUUCCCAGUUUAGUUACUGCUCUUGUGCUGCCCUCAUUCUUGUUUGUUUCUUUCGUGAUCAUCAGCCACAAUAAAAGGCUCGCUUUUGUUUAAGUUCACUCCGUAUCCUCACUUGUGUUCGCAUCUGAGUCCACCACACACACCACCGCACGGUCUGUCACCUCAGAUCGUGACAGCAUUGUGCUUUGCUUCAGCUCUUUUGUUGGAUGUCCACCUGUGGAGAAUAUAAUAAGGAAUAUGUGCAUUCUCAUCCCCAUGCUGCUUUUCCUUUCCCCUGUGUAUGGGUAUCCGCUGAGGUUUACUUUUUGCAAUGAGACGAAAACCUGGAAAGAUGCACAGGCAUUCUGCAGGGAGCACCACACUGACCUGGUCACAAUUAGAAAUGAGAAAGAGAAUAAUAUUUUUAGUGGCGAAGGCUGGAUUGGAUUAUACCGCAUCUCAAAGUCAAGGACAUGGCAAUGGUCCAGAGGAGAUGAGAUAGCUAACUACACUAACUGGGACACUGGUGAACCACAGCAACAUAAACACCUUGCAUACAAGGAUAAUGAAAAAUGGAAGGCACAUGAUUAUACUGACACACAUCCUUUCAUGUGUUAUGAUGAUGAUGAUGAUAAUGACCUGAUUUUGGUGAAGGAUAAUAAGACAUGGGAG